AGCGAACGCUGGCGGCAGGCUUAACACAUGCAAGUCGAACGCCAUCUUCGGAUGGAGUGGCAGACGGGUGAGUAACGCGUGGGAACGUACCCUUUGGUUCGGAAUAUUCUCGGGAAACUGGGAGCAAUACCGGAUAAGCCCUACGGGGGGAAAGAUUUAUCGCCAAAGGAGCGGCCCGCGUCAGAUUAGGUAGUUGGUGGGGUAAAGGCCUACCAAGCCUACGAUCUGUAGCUGGUCUGAGAGGAUGAUCAGCCACACUGGGACUGAGACACGGCCCAGACUCCUACGGGAGGCAGCAGUGGGGAAUCUUGGACAAUGGGCGCAAGCCUGAUCCAGCCAUGCCGCGUGGAUGAUGAAGGCCUUAGGGUUGUAAAAUCCUUUCAACGGGGACGAUAAUGACGGUACCCGUAGAAGAAGCCCCGGCUAACUUCGUG
rnacentral:rRNA from 1 species